rnacentral:SRP_RNA from 1 species
GAUCUCGCGUGGCGUUCAUCCUCUCAACUCCCCCAGGGCAGGAAUGCAGCAAGGGUACGGAGGCUCUGGCGGGUGCGCGGGGU